CCUAUAUCAACUAGAAAAUAUUUGGAUUCAAAAAAAAAAUUUUAUUUUUAUUUUUUUUAAUAUUCGUUGAAAAUAAAUUUAUUUAUCGUUUAUUUCAAUAGAGAUUCUAGUUCAUUUGGUUAUUGUGGAGCAAACAUAUGCAACGCAGUGAAGAUGUUAUCACAAGAUGGUAUUUCCGAGCCAAUGGAUCUUUGAGCUAGAUGGUAUCUUCAGCAAUUUCCACCGAGCAGCUUGGACAAUUAAUAUGUAGUUUAUGGAUCCUCUUUCAAUGAAUUUAGUAUGCCCAAACUCGAAGGAGUUUCACCUCCAUAAGAGCGACAGUCCUGGAGAAGUUAUCAGAGCCAAAAAAAUUCAUAUGAUGAUGCAUUUUCCGUCUCUGAAAACGUCUUCAGCAGAAGUUGUUUUUAGCGAAGUGAAACUCAUUCGAUUUUGAUCAUACUAACGACAUUGGAUGCUUGGAUCGGCAGUUUGGUGGAAUAUAAAUACCAAGACCCUAAGACUGAUGACGUACCUGCUAAUGAAGAUGAUGGAGAUAUACUUGCAUGCCAAUUCAAUAAGUUAUAAGCACCCAAUAUAAUAAAAUUCAAAUAUUUAUAUUAAAUAC
ensembl:ncRNA lncRNA:CR44175 long non-coding RNA:CR44175